AAUUCCUUCAUAAGUUUUCAUGGUUUUCUCUCUUCUCAAAUUUUACCUCCCAUCUUGAGUUUCCUUCAUUAAGAGCAAGCCCGUCUUGAGUUCUGCUAGUUCCGAUUGUUCGUGGCUGCCGUUCACUUGAGAGGUUGUUUCAUCCUAUUGAGACAGUCACCGUAGUCUGCUUGUCGCCGGUGCAGGGCGCUAACUGUCUUCAAGACAACGCAAAGCGCGACUCGACCUACUUUUGUUCCUGGUUCUUCACGUUCCAGAAAUUUAUCCCUGAUAACUGUUCCACCUGCAAGCGUUGUUGUUCAACUGUCUUCUCCACUUUGUUGUUCUAGUCUGGUAACGAGAGAGGGGAAUUGGAAGUAAAGAACUGACACAAUGAGCAUAAAUAGCAAGGGCUUCCCACAGUCGAUCACGAACGUAGCUCCCUUCUUCUUCACGUUGGGCCCCGCCGCUGCUUCUCUUGACUCACCUUCGAGUCCUAACUCUGCAAUUCAAUGCCGUCAACAAAAAUUGUCGAGAUAUUAGGAUUUCGUUAAAAAGAUUGGGAACGUUUGCGUGCCGUUGGUGAUGUUAAAGCGGCUGUCGAAUUAGAGCAAAGAUGGAGGCCACUCAGGCCAGAGAAACAAAAUGAAUCAAUCUAUUAAAUUAAAAUUGCUAGGGAGCUGAGCACUUACAGUUACAGCCCAAAGAGAAAUAAUGGACUCGUCGUCUUUUGAAGCCCAGGCCUAUGUUAUAGCCCAAA